AUUGAACGCUGGCGGCAGGCCUAACACAUGCAAGUCGAGCGGAUGAGAAAAGCUUGCUUUUCGAUUCAGCGGCGGACGGGUGAGUAAUGCCUAGGAAUCUGCCUGCUAGUGGGGGAUAACUCGGGGAAACUCGGGCUAAUACCGCCUACGUCCUACGGGAGAAAGUGGGGGAUCUUCGGACCUCACGCUCACAGAUGAGCCUAGGUCGGAUUAGCUAGUAGGUGAGGUAAUGGCUCACCUAGGCGACGAUCCGUAACUGGUCUGAGAGGAUGAUCAGUCACACUGGAACUGAGACACGGUCCAGACUCCUACGGGAGGCAGCAGUGGGGAAUAUUGGACAAUGGGCGAAAGCCUGAUCCAGCCGUGCCGCGUGUGUGAAGAAGGUCUUCGGAUUGUAAAGCACUUUAAGUUGGGAGGAAGGGUAUUCACCUAAUACGUGGGUACUUUGACGUUACCAACAGAAUAAGCACCGGCUAACUCUGUGCCAGCAGCCGCCGUAACAC
rnacentral:rRNA from 1 species